CAGCCGCCACGGUAAUACAGAGGAUGCAAGCGUUAUCCGGAAUGAUUGGGCGUAAAGCGUCUGUAGGUGGCUUUUCAAGUCCGCCGUCAAAUCCCAGGGCUCAACCUGGGAACUGCAUUUGAGACUGUAUGGCUAGAGUGUGUCAGAGGGGGGUAGAAUUCCACGUGUAGCAGUGAAAUGCGUAGAUAUGUGGAGGAAUACCGAUGGCGAAGGCAGCCCCCUGGGAUAACACUGACGCUCAUGCACGAAAGCGUGGGGAGCAAACAGGAUUAGAUACCCCAGUAGUCCCUGUCUCUUAUAA
rnacentral:rRNA from 1 species